GCAUUUAUUCACAUGUUGAUAUACCUUUGUCAAUUACCCGUAUACAUAUAUGUUGAAUUACAUAUUAUUGUUGAGCAAGAUUAAAAACCUUCGGGUUUGGAACCAGGCAUGUAUGAACAUCCCGAUAAUGGGAAAAUUUUUAUGCGCUUCGGCGGACAAAGGGUGAGCGAUGAAUUUCGUUCAAGUUAUGUAGUAUUGAUCAAUACAGGGUACAACGGGGCUGAUCACCCUCCGUGCCCGUAAGUUAUGACGGUUUGCGGAUGAAUUUCUGCUAAACCUUUUCGAAAAUGAAAAACCAUGUUCAUAGUAUGUUUCUUAAACCCUAUUCAUGGGUGGAGCCUAAUUUCAAGAAAUUGAAAGAGAGUUGUUAUGUGAAUCUUUUAUCAGUACAGAUUACUUCACAACUUUUGAUUCGUUGUAGAAGUGUUAUGUAAAGAGAAUACUUAUAUUCUUUCAGCUUAUAUAUAUAAUUGCUAUUACUUGCUGGGCACUCAAAUGCUCAUCCUUGCUUAAACUAAAUGUUUUCAGUUACGUACGAUCGACCUGAAGGCUCAGGCACGAACAAGGGAAAAGAAAAGCUAUUCGAAUGAGAUUUAGUAUGAGUUAAUGGUUAUAGUUAGUAAGACAAUGGAAUCUAUUGUCAGAUAUUGUAAGCAAUGUAUUUGAAUGUCACGUACCUGGGAAAGUAAACUUUAAUGUAUGUAAAUUAAGUUCGAAUUAUAUUAUUAUUUAGUAUUAUUCAGCUUAAAGAAAUGGUAUCGUGGAG
rnacentral:lncRNA from 1 species